rnacentral:misc_RNA from 1 species
AAAAAAAAAAUCCUUUCUUCCAUGCAACACAUUAGCACUUGUAUCAGCUUUAUCAAAAUAUAUUAAAAAGAAGCAAAAGAUAGAUUUUAUGCAGCACAUGAUAAUGGGAAAGGCAGGUUCAUGUUUGGCUGCUAUUCUAAAGAUAGAAGAGAUUACCAAGGAAAGUUCAGCCUGCAACCAAUAUGCAAAGCUCCAGACCAAAGUGGGUUCCAUUUAGGCUGAAUCAAACCCCAACAAAUGGGUCACCCCGACAAAUAGCAAGUAGCACAUAUUGCUAUAGCUCUCUAGUGAGUAGCUAACUAGACUCAUUAGUAAUAGUCCACACUCACAUAAUCACCCUUGUUCCCUCACUCACCUCACUUGCCCACCUAUUGAGCAAUAGAAAAAUUUAUAGACAAUAUUACUGAGUACUGACCUGCUAAACCAGCACAGGCUGAAGAGAAU